rnacentral:misc_RNA from 1 species
AUUGGAUAAGAUAUAUAUGUUACAAGUGUAAGAAAUAUAGACAAUAUUUGCAGAUAUAAUUGACUGUACAUAGAAGAAGAGGGUGAAAUAUAUAUCACCUAGGAUUAAUGGAGGGAACAACUCCACUAACAAGGUCACUACCAGAUACAUCAGCUGAAACAAAAGGAUACUUCAUAGCUGAGGUUGAAGAUGGGGUUCUGCUAUCCUUUUCACUAUCCGUGACCACCGAAUCUCUAAUUAUAGAGUAAGAUUCAGGCAUCAUCACCCGUAUGUUUUCUAGUUCUCUAACCACUUCUACCAUUGAUGGCCGACCUUCUGUCUCUUCUUGGCAACAUUUCAGAGCCAGAUUUAUGAAUUUCUCUACACAUUCCGAAGGAUAAGAUCCCAUCUGAUCAUCAAUCACAUUGAAUAUCAUACCAGAACGAUACGCAAGGUUCACCUCCCUAACAAUGUUCUUGCCGUGUGAAAUUGGCUGCAUUCCGGUGAGAAGCUCAAGGAAUACAACACCAAGGCUGUAAACGUCACUCUUGUCAGUCAAUUUAUGAGUUAGGAAAUACUCUGGGUCAAGGUAUCCCGGAGUGCCCUUAACAACAGUCGAUACAUGAGCAGGCAGAGUCCCUUCAAGAUCUGGAACUGGAGCAAGCCGUGAAAGUCCAAAGUCAGCCACCUUUGCAAUAAACUUAGAGUCUAGCAAUAUAUUGCUUGCCUUGAUAUCUCGAUGGAAUAUGGGAGGAUCAGCCUCCGUGUGCAAGUAGAGAAUGCCCUUAGCGGAACCUAAGGCAACUUUCAAUCGCAUAGCAAAACUUAGAGGUUCUUUACAUUUACCAGAUAGGUGGUCUCUAAGAGUACCAUUUGGCAUAAACUCGUAAACCAGCAUCUGUUCUCCUUCUUCACCACAAUAUCCAAGCAAAGACACAAGGUUUCGGUGAUGUAGCCUAGAUAAUAGUUCAAUUUCUGUAAGAAACUCCUUUUGUCCCUGUAACGAUCCCUCUUGAGCUCGUUUAAUGGCUACAGCUGUCCCAUCAGCUAAAGUACCUUGAUAAACUUUUCCAUACCCUCCUUGACCAACAAUGCUGGAGUUGUCAAAAUUUUUGGUUGCCAGUGUCAAUUCUUCAAAAUUGAAUUCCUUAACACCAUCAAUUUUGACAGAGAUUUUCGACAAUAGGCUGCGUUUUGAACUGGCAUGGUGGUGCUUCUUCAUAUGCAAUCUCAGUAUGAGAAGUGAUACAAAUGCCGAUAUUGUGACCGCACCAGCAAUUACUCCUAGUAUGAUGCCUGCAAGAGCUCCCUUACUAAUACCAGAUGAUGAGGGAGGGGGGAUGAAUUCUCUAUAAUCUGCAAGUAGGGUGAAAUUGAUAAGUUCAUAAGGUCCAAAAAGAUCAUUAUCAGGAAUCAGCCAUCCAGUGAACAUGCUACGGAGUCUUAGGACCUCACUUUUAUUGAACAAACGCGAGCUGUUGUUAUCAUCAAAGAUGGGGAAAAUCCUCAAAUACAUCUUCACCCGAGGACCAGCUUCCAAUGAAAAUGUGUUCAGGUGUAAUUGGGAUAUAUUCAGUUUAAGACCAAUCGUGAUAUACCACUUAAACUGAUCCAUGUAUGAUCGAAAAUCCCGAAAUCCAGGACUCUUCAGCCUGUAUCCUAUAAGCAGCGGUAGAGCACAAAAGCAAGUAGGAUAUGGCAGGGCAUAUUCAUAGGGGGGAGGACACGCCAAAGGAGGACAAUCAGUGUUGUUUGCUAAUUGCAAGGUACCACCAGCAUCUCCAUUGUAAGGUCCGCAAAAGUUGAAUAGGAUAGAAUUCGAACAUAAUGGAUUUCCUUGAAGACUAACAGUGACAUUUUGUGGGAUAGCCAGAGGUCCUGAGAUAUUCAAAAGCUUAUUGUUCCGCAAAUCCAAGAUAAGCGUCUCCGUUGCAUUGAGUGUCCUAUUUUGCCAAAUUAUGGAUGGAACUGAACCGCUUAAUGAAUUGUUUUCUAGCGACAGUUUCUGCAAAUGUGGAAGGCUUGAAAAGUUUGAAGGAAUAGUUCCGUUGAGGUUGUUGUAUGACAGAUCAAUUGUCGUCAUAUUGUCACUAAGCAUGUUCGACGGAAUGGACCCAAUUAGCUCGUUAAGGCUGAGAUCUAUGUAAGUAAGGUUAGGUAUGUUGCCCAGAUUUGGAACCGGUCCCUGUAAGCUACAGUUCCUCAGACUCAGUUUUAACAAACGUGACAUAUUCCCGUAUGAAUCAGGAAUAUGACUUCCUUCAAAGUUGUUAUUAUCAAGUUGACUAUAAAACAAGAGCAAAAUCAAAUAUGAGACAUUAAUGCUUAAAGAAUAAAAGGUAGUUAUGGCAGAAAGAACAAUAUUGAGACAGUCAAAGAACUUCUCAGAAAGAACAAACGAAAACAGAUGUGUACAUAGACAUCUCCCACAAAGAUUUAGUCCAUUUUAUGAGCUGAAACCCUUUAAUGUCAAAAGUCCACUAAAAAUAUGGUCCCUG